rnacentral:snRNA from 1 species
AUCGCUUCUCGGCCUUUUGGCUAAGAUCAAGUGUAGUAUAGGUUUUUGCCUUUUAUCAUGUCUCAUUCAUUUUAAAGCAAUCAUAUGUAUGGUUUUUAUCUGUAAAUAACUUUUUACUGUAUCAUAC